rnacentral:lncRNA from 1 species
AGGUGCAGAGGAACCAGGAAGACCGGUCACAUUUUUGACUUCUGAGUUCCUGAAAAGGCUCGGGUGAAUCAACAGUUAAUGCUUUCUUCUUUAAAAAGAAAAGGUGGAGAUCCCAGGAUGCUGGCUCUCAACACACCAUUGCUAUGCUGGUGCCCUGACUGACUAAGUGUGAAAAUGCCCAAAGGAAGGGCUCUCCAUUUCUCCUCGGGUGUGCCUAAAGGGACAACACCUCCCCUUAGUUUCAAGACCUCGAAUCAGACAACACGGGUUCCUAACCCACCAGUCACUGGCCAGAAGAGAGAUCAGCACAGGGUGGUGAGCUCAGCCUCCCUGAAGCUCAGCCAAUGACAGCUUCCUGACAGGCGAAGAGAAGAGCAGAAGCUGGGA